rnacentral:rRNA from 1 species
UACAGAGGUCCCAAGCGUUGUUCGGAUUCACUGGGCGUAAAGGGUGCGUAGGUGGUUAGGUAAGUCCGAUGUGAAAUCUCCAGGCUCAACCUGGAAAUGGCAUUGGAUACUAUUUAGCUUGAGGAGUGGAGGGGGGACUGGAAUUCUCGGUGUAGCAGUGAAAUGCGUAGAUAUCGAGAGGAACACCAGUGGCGAAAGCGGCUCACUGGACCAUAACUGACGCUGAUGCACGAAAGCUGGGGGGAGCAAACAGG